ACGGGAGGCAGCAGGGGGGAAUAUUUCCGCAAUGGGCGAAAGCCUGACGGAGCAACGCCGCGUGAGGGAUGAAGGCCUCUGGGCUGUAAACCUCUUUUAUCAAGGAAGAAGAUCUGACGGUACUUGAUGAAUAAGCCACGGCUAAUUCCGUGCCAGCAGCCGCGGUAAU
rnacentral:rRNA from 1 species